rnacentral:rRNA from 1 species
AUUGAACGCUGGCGGCAUGCUUUACACAUGCAAGUCGAACGGCAGCGCGGGCUUCGGCCUGGCGGCGAGUGGCGAACGGGUGAGUAAUGCAUCGGAACGUGCCCAGUAGUGGGGGAUAGCCCGGCGAAAGCCGGAUUAAUACCGCAUACGACCUGAGGGUGAAAGCGGGGGACCGAAAGGCCUCGCGCUAUUGGAGCGGCCGAUGUCGGAUUAGCUAGUUGGUGGGGCAAAGGCUUACCAAGGCGACGAUCCGUAGCUGGUCUGAGAGGACGACCAGCCACACUGGGACUGAGACACGGCCCAGACUCCUACGGGAGGCAGCAGUGGGGAAUUUUGGACAAAGGGGGCAACCCUGAUCCAGCCAUGCCGCGUGAGGGAAGAAGGCCUUCGGGUUGUAAACCGCUUUUGUUCGGGAAGAAAUCCUCUGGGCUAAUACCCCGGGGGGAUGACGGUACCGGAAGAAUAAGCACCGGCUAACUACGUG